AAUGAACGUUGGCGGCGUGGAUUAGGCAUGCAAGUCGCGCGAUGAAGCAGUGCUUGCACUGUGGAUUAGCGGCGCAAGGGAGAGUAACGCGUGGAUUACGUACCCUCAGGACUGGGAUAGCCGCGGGAAACUGCGGGUAAUACCGGAUAACGUCUCCGGACCAAAGGUGUGAUUCCGCCUGAGGAGCGGUCCGCGUCCUAUUAGGUUGUUGGUGGGGUAAUGGCCUACCAAGCCGAAGAUGGGUAGCGGGCGUGAGAGCGUGGCCCGUCUCACUGGGACUGAGACACUGCCCAGACACCUACGGGUGGCUGCAGUCGAGAAUCUUCCGCAAUGGACGCAAGUCUGACGGAGCGACGCCGCGUGCGGGAUGAAGGCCUUCGGGUUGUAAACCGCUGUCAGUGGGGUGGAAAUGCAUGAGGGUCAUCCCUCAUGUUUGACCUAACCGCAGAGGAAGUCCGGGCUAAGCUCGUG
rnacentral:rRNA from 1 species